rnacentral:rRNA from 1 species
AACGAACGCUGGCGGCAUGCCUAACACAUGCAAGUCGAACGAGACCUUCGGGUCUAGUGGCGCACGGGUGCGUAACGCGUGGGAACCUGCCCUUAGGUUCGGAAUAACUCCCCGAAAGGGGUGCUAAUACCGGAUAAUGUCUUCGGACCAAAGAUUUAUCGCCUUUGGAUGGGCCCGCGUUGGAUUAGCUAGUUGGUAGGGUAAAAGCCUACCAAGGCGACGAUCCAUAGCUGGUCAGAGAGGAUGAUCAGCCACACUGGGACUGAGACACGGCCCAGACUCCUACGGGAGGGAGCGGUGGGGAAUAUUGGACAAUGGGGGAAAGACUGAUCCAGCAAUGCCGCGUGAGUGAUGAAGGCCUUAGGGUUGUAAAGCUCUUUUACCCGGGAUGAUAAUGACAGUACCGGGAGAAUAAGCUCCGGCUAACUCCGUG